UACGUAGGGGGCAAGCGUUGUCCGGAUUCAUUGGGCGUAAAGAGCGUGUAGGCGGCCAGGUAGGUCGGUUGUGAAAACUCGAGGCUCAACCUCGAGACGUCGGUUGAAACCACCUGGCUAGAGUCCGGAAGAGGAGAGUGGAAUUCCUGGUGUAGCGGUGAAAUGCGCAGAUAUCAGGAAGAACACCCGUGGCGAAGGCGGCUCUCUGGGACGGUACUGACGCUGAGACGCGAAAGCGUGGGGAGCGAACAGG
rnacentral:rRNA from 1 species